rnacentral:ribozyme from 1 species
AUCCUAUUAUUGUUUUUAUCAUUUAUUAUUAUUUAUUAUUAUUAGAAGAAGAGAAAAAGAAAGAAAAAAA